GGCUCAGAGUGAACGCUGGCGGUAGGCCUAACACAUGCAAGUCGAACGGCAGCACAGAGGAGCUUGCUCCUUGGGUGGCGAGUGGCGGACGGGUGAGGAAUACAUCGGAAUCUACUCUGUCGUGGGGGAUAACGUAGGGAAACUUACGCUAAUACCGCAUACGACCUACGGGUGAAAGCAGGGGAUCUUCGGACCUUGCGCGAUUGAAUGAGCCGAUGUCGGAUUAGCUAGUUGGCGGGGUAAAGGCCCACCAAGGCGACGAUCCGUAGCUGGUCUGAGAGGAUGAUCAGCCACACUGGAACUGAGACACGGUCCAGACUCCUACGGGAGGCAGCAGUGGGGAAUAUUGGACAAUGGGCGCAAGCCUGAUCCAGCCAUACCGCGUGGGUGAAGAAGGCCUUCGGGUUGUAAAGCCCUUUUGUUGGGAAAGAAAUCCAGCCGGCUAAUACCUGGUUGGGAUGACGGUACCCAAAGAAUAAGCACCGGCUAACUUCGUGCCAGCAGCCGCGGUAAUACGAAGGGUGCAAGCGUUACUCGGAAUUACUGGGCGUAAAGCGUGCGUAGGUGGUCGUUUAAGUCCGUUGUGAAAGCCCUGGGCUCACCUGGGAACUGCAGUGGAUACUGGACGACUAGAGUGUGGUAGAGGUAGCGGAU
rnacentral:rRNA from 1 species